rnacentral:rRNA from 1 species
AUCAAAACCAAACGGCGUCYUCGCGGCGCCGUCCCCCUGGUGAUUCUGAAUAACUUUGUGCUGAUCGCACGGCCUCSCGCCGGCGACGUAUCUUUCUAAGGUGUGCCCUAUCAACUGUCGACUGUGGCAUAGACGCCCACAGUGGUUUUGACGGGUAACGGGGAAUCAGGGUUCGAUUCCGGAGAGGGAGCCUGAGAGACGGCUACCACUUCUACGGAAGGCAGCAGGCACGCAAAUUACCCAYUGGCCGCRGGCCGAGGUAGUGACGAAAAAUAACGAUACCGGACUCAUCCGAGGCCCGGUAAUCGGAAUGAGUACACUUUAAAUCCUUUAACGAGGAACCAUUGGAGGGCAAGUCUGGUGCCAGCAGCCGCGGUAAUUCCAGCUCCAAUAGUUUAUGCCAAUUUUGUUGCGGUUAAAAAGCUCGUAGUUGGAUUUCGGCGCGCARGGGGCGGUUCGAUCUCUGUCGUUACUGCCCCAUUUGCGCGUGUGUUCGCGUCGGAGGCUGCGGGGUGCUCUUAAUCGAGUGUCGCGCCGCGCCGUCAGGUUUACUUUGAAAAAAUUAGAGUGCUCAAG